ensembl:lncRNA
UAAAACUGUGUCAGUUAGUCAUUUAGUCAGUGUGUCGGUCAACAAAUAAGUCAGCUUGUAGUCGGAGAGUCAGUCAAUCAUGAAUCAGUCAUAUCUAAACUGCACAGUCACUGUACUGUCAGAUACCCAUGUUACCCCCUGUUUUACCCCCUUGUGUUACCCCCUGCACACACAGGGCUGGUGUAUGGCCAUGUUGUGGGGUUUUUGGGACAUACUACGUUUGGGCUGGGCGUUUGGCCAGAACCUUAUACUUAGUGCUAAUAAAACGCAGAUAAACGGCAAAAACAUAGAUGUACCAUGCAGAAAUCGCUAUCUAUCUUACUGUGUUGUACACUGUCAUAUUUUGUAUCAGAUAUUUAUACAACAUUAAAAUACACAGAGAUACCACAAAUAAAAAAGUGUUUCCCAUGAUGAUUUUUCUAACACAUGAUGUCUUCGGGUUAUGAGAAAUGGGGGUCAUCGCCUGUCGACAAACUCCACACGGGGAUACGGAGAAGUGGAACUGUAUUAAGCAGCUGCUCAAAGCGACAGCAGAUUUAACCCACUUUUGUCCAAAAGUCUUCGGUUAAAUGGAUUAACGAGUUUUCGGAGUUUGCUUCCAGCUCCGCUUAUUAAACACUACUGUUCAUUUUAUCACCACCCGAGGUGCAGUGUAUAUACAGUAUCAGGAGGUGCUGAUUAAGAACAAGCACGUUAGGACGGGUGUGAAGCAGCACUCGGGGGAUUUACCGCAGCGUCGCGUCCAUGCCAGCGUUGACGCGUCCAAAAAUGUGCUUCGACUUUUGAAAGAAGUAUAAACGUGUUAAAUAAAAGAACUCGGACGAUUUCUGAGGCGUUUGCAUGAUUUAUUUAUAAUAGCUUCUCACAAUUGAUGCAUUAGUUCAUUAAAAAAACACAUUUUAUUUAAAAUAACGGUAUAAACCAAAUAGACAGGAGGCUGCGUGCGCUCGGCGGUGUUCCCUUCGGCUGGGUCUCUUCGGCCAUCUUGUAAACGAUGGAUUGAGUCCACAACUGAUUAUUAUACUGUGUGUGUGUGUGUGUGUGUGUGUGUGUGUGUGAUCCUUUCCUUCUUCAUUUGCGAGCGUCCUCGGCAUCGUCGCUCUCUCGCUCUUGCCGCUCUCGCUCUCUCCUCAUCUCCUUCAGCUCCUGACGGUACUUCCGCUCGAUGAAGCGCUUCUGAUGGGCCAUCUGAGGGAAGUUAUCUGCAACGAGGCACACGACAAGCGGGGGAAAUGAACCCGAACGACGGAUGUCCAGGUCCGCGAGAAUACGGUCGAUACAUCAUGGAACACGGUUAUAAGAUGAGAAACGGUGUGCUAGGAUUGUUGUAUGUAUUUUUUUUUCAAUAAAACUUUUUAAAAAUUUCUCUUCAGUAAUCUUCUUAUAAUUCGAGAAACUUUGGCUCGAGUAUUAUAACUUAGAACCUCUUUAAUAACAUUACCUCAGUAGGAGAGAGGAGAGAGGAGAGUGAGACAGACAAGCAUGAAGUGGAGGGGAGUGUAAAGGAAGAGGGUGAAGAGGAAGAGUAUGACAGGAAGAGGGUGUGAAGAAAGGGUGGGAGAGAGAGAGAGAAAAGAAAGGGGUGGGAGAGAGAGAGAAAG